GGCAAGAGCUCAAAUUUGAAAUCUAGCACUUUCAGUGUUCGAGUUGUAAUUUGAAGAAGGUAUCUUUGGAGUUGGCCCCUGUCUAUGUUCCUUGGAACAGGACGUCACAGAGGGUGAGAAUCCCGUGCGAUGGGGAGACCAAUUCUUUGUAAAGUUCCUUCGAAGAGUCGAGUUGUUUGGGAAUGCAGCUCUAAGUGGGUGGUAAAUUCCAUCUAAAGCUAAAUAUUGGCGAGAGACCGAUAGCGAACAAGUACAGUGAUGGAAAGAUGAAAAGAACUUUGAAAAGAGAGUGAAAAAGUACGUGAAAUUGUUGAAAGGGAAGGGCUUUUGAUCAGACUUGGUGUUUAACGAUCUCUUCUCCUUGUGGGAGGGGCUCUUGUUUUAUACUGGGCCAGCAUCGGUUUGGAUGGCAGGAUAAUGACAUUGGAACGUGGCUUCAUUCGUGAAGUGUUAUAGCCUUUGUUGAUACUGCCUAUCUAGACCGAGGACUGCGUCUUUGACUAGGAUGCUGGCGUAAUGAUUAAAAGCCGCCCGUCUUGAAACACGG
rnacentral:rRNA from 1 species